AUCCUCAUCUCGGCUGUUAACCCUCCCCUCCCCUCCCCCGGUCUGCAAAGUGCUCGUACCCGACCUGGCCUGUGCUCGCUCACACCAUCCCCGACUUUACUUCCCCUCCUGUCCGGUUGACACAGGUCACGGAGGACCUCAGAACCGCGGACCGGCUCGUUGUGCAAGCACGUACCUGUCGGCGGCGGCGCGGGAGCCGGAGUCUUCUUUCAACAAAAAACAAACCCCGACGCCGUGACAUUUAUCAACACUUCUGCAGCAUACUGUACAUACGGCACGUGCCCGCCCCCCCCGUCAUGUCAUGUCACACGAGAAAGAGAAAAGCGGGGUUGGUCAAGAAACUGGUCCGAGUCCAUCCGAGCAUUCUGCUGAUGUGUAGUUGCGGUUGAUCACGAUUUCCUUGUGAAGAUGUGACUCCGCGGCCUCAGAUCCUCAGACAGGGAGUUUCAGAGCUGACAGGCCCAUGAGUCGGGACUUAGGGACAACCAGCAGUUUCCCACCUGAGGACCUGAGCUUGCACUCCGGCUAUUUAACUAGGAUCAAUAAAGCCCUCACAUUAUAAAACAUCA